UGGGGAAUCUUGGACAAUGGGCGCAAGCCUGAUCCAGCCAUGCCGCGUGAGUGAUGAAGGCCUUAGGGUCGUAAAGCUCUUUCGCCAGGGAUGAUAAUGACAGUACCUGGUAAAGAAACCCCGGCUAACUCCGUGCCAGCAGCCGCGGUAAUACGGAGGGGGUUAGCGUUGUUCGGAAUUACUGGGCGUAAAGCGCGCGUAGGCGGACUGGAAAGUUGGGGGUGAAAUCCCAGGGCUCAACCCUGGAACUGCCUCCAAAACUAUCAGUCUAGAGUUCGAGAGAGGUGAGUGGAGUUCCGAGUGUAGAGGUGAAAUUCGUAGAUAUUCGGAGGAACACCAGUGGCGAAGGCGGCUCACUGGCUCGAUACUGACGCUGAGGUGCGAAAGUGUGGGGAGCAAACAGGAUUAGAUACCCUGGUAGUCCACACCGUAAACGAUGAAUGCCAGUCGUCGGGUAGCAUGCUAUUCGGUGACACACCUAACGGAUUAAGCAUUCCGCCUGGGGAGUACGGUCGCAAGAUUA
rnacentral:rRNA from 1 species